rnacentral:pre_miRNA from 1 species
CCUUACCAUUUCUUUGUCCGGUCCGUGUGAUUAUCAUCACUGGACGGAGAACUGAUAAGGGC